rnacentral:rRNA from 1 species
ACGAACGCUGGCGGCGUGCUUAACACAUGCAAGUCGAACGGAAAGGCCCUGCUUUUGUGGGGUGCCCGAGUGGCGAACGGGUGAGUAACACGUGAGUAACCUGCCCUUGACUUUGGGAUAACUUCAGGAAACUGGGGCUAAUACCGGAUAGGAGCUCCUGCUGCAUGGUGGGGGUUGGAAAGUUUCGGCGGUUGGGGAUGGACUCGCGGCUUAUCAGCUUGUUGGUGGGGUAGUGGCUUACCAAGGCUUUGACGGGUAGCCGGCCUGAGAGGGUGACCGGCCACAUUGGGACUGAGAUACGGCCCAGACUCCUACGGGAGGCAGCAGUGGGGAAUAUUGCACAAUGGGCGGAAGCCUGAUGCAGCAACGCCGCGUGCGGGAUGACGGCCUUCGGGUUGUAAACCGCUUUCGCCUGUGACGAAGCGUGAGUGACGGUAAUGGGUAAAGAAGCACCGGCUAACUACGUG